rnacentral:rRNA from 1 species
GGGGAAUAUUGCACAAUGGGCGAAAGCCUGAUGCAGCAACGCCGCGUGAGUGAUGAAGGUCUUCGGAUUGUAAAGCUCUGUCUUUUGGGACGAUAAUGACGGUACCAAAGGAGGAAGCCACGGCUAACUACGUGCCAGCAGCCGCGGUAAUACGUAGGUGGCGAGCGUUGUCCGGAUUUACUGGGCGUAAAGGGUGCGUAGGCGGAUGUUUAAGUGAGAUGUGAAAUACCCGGGCUUAACUUGGGUGCUGCAUUUCAAACUGGAUAUCUAGAGUGCAGGAGAGGAGAAUGGAAUUCCUAGUGUAGCGGUGAAAUGCGUAGAGAUUAGGAAGAACACCAGUGGCGAAGGCGAUUCUCUGGACUGUAACUGACGCUGAGGCACGAAAGCGUGGGUAGCAAACAGGAUUAGAUACCCUGGUAGUCCACGCCGUAAAACGAUGAGUACUAGGUGUAGGAGGUAUCGACCCCUUCUGUGCCGCAGUAAACACAUUAAGUACCCCGCCU